UUUUCAACACUUGCUAUAGGACCCUUUUAAA
rnacentral:piRNA from 1 species